GUUGAACGCUGGCGGCGUGCCUAAUACAUGCAAGUCGAGCGAAGCGGGGACGGGUGAGUAACACGUGGAUAACCUCCUAUAAGACUGGGAAAACUUCCGGAAACCGGUGCUAACCCGGAUACUUAUCGCUGGAUCCGCGCUGCAUUAGCUAGUUGGUAGGGUAACGGCUUACCAAGGCAACGAUGCAUAGCCGACCUGAGAGGAUGAUCGGCCACACUGGAACGGAGACACGGUCCAGACUCCUACGGGAGGCAGCAGUAGGGAAUAUUCCGCAAUGGGCGAAAGCCUGACGGAGCAACGCCGCGUGAGUGAUGAAGGUCUUCGGAUCGUAAAGCACUUUUAGUAGGGAAGCGGUACCUGAUCAGAAAGCCACGGCUAACUACGUGCCAGCAGCCGCGGUAAUAC
rnacentral:rRNA from 1 species